UCUUAUCCAGAGAGGUGAAGGGACUGGCCCGUUGAAACCUCAGCAACAGACCAUUUGGUACUGUGCUAAUUCCAGGAGCAUCAACUGCUCAAAGAUAAG
rnacentral:ncRNA from 1 species